GCCCGCGUGGUGAAAUGGUAGACACACGAGACUUAAAAUCUCUUGCUCUUCGGGGCGUGCCGGUUCGAGUCCGGCCGCGGGCA
rnacentral:tRNA from 2 species